UAAAUACGUAAAUCACCCUCCUCCAUGUGUUCUCUUCUAAUCUGCAAAAUUUUGUCAUUCUUAUUAACUGCUCUAAUCUCUUCUUAAUGACCCUUAAUAAAAAAAUUCUUUACUUUUGAACUUAAAAGAUUCUAAAGUCUUUUAACUUUGAUUAAAGAUUCUCUCUUUAUGUUCAAAGCUUUAAGUUUUUGUUCUUCUUUUUAUUUAAAUUUUCAGUUCUUUUGAAGGAAACUUAAGGGAGAUAGACAUGGAAGCUGUUUUACAAACCAGAGGGCUUCUUUCAUUACCUCCCAAACCAACCAAAGCUAGUAGUCUUUUGAAUCCAUCACAAGGCUUAACCCAUAGGCUUUUUGCUUCUAAACCUUUAGGCUUUAAUGGGUUAUGUUUGUUUUAUAGAAGAGUUCCAAGUGUUGUAGCAAAACCAAAUGGUGUACCCUUCAUUUGCAAGGCUAAGGCUGCUUCUGCAGCUGAUGGGAAGCAGCCAUUUUUUAAUGAAAAUGAGAAGCCAAAAUUCAUGGGAAUUGAGAUUCUGACACUUAAGAAGAUUAUACCACUUGGGUUAAUGUUCUUUUGUAUACUUUUCAAUUAUACAAUCCUUAGGGAUACAAAGGAUGUCUUGGUUGUAACAGCUAAAGGAAGCAGUGCAGAGAUAAUACCAUUUUUAAAGACAUGGGUUAAUUUGCCAAUGGCUAUCGGGUUCAUGUUGUUAUAUACAAAGUUGGCUAACGUGUUGUCUAAGAAGGCUCUUUUCUACACUGUUAUUGUUCCUUUUAUAGCCUUUUUUGGUGCAUUUGGGUUCCUGUUGUAUCCUCUCAGCAAUUAUAUCCACCCUCAAGCCCUUUCUGAUAAGCUUCUAGCAGUUCUUGGACCAAGGUUUCUUGGUCCUCUUGCAAUUAUGAGGAUUUGGAGUUUCUGUUUGUUCUAUGUCAUGGCUGAACUUUGGGGCAGUGUUGUCAUUUCAGUUCUGUUCUGGGGGUUUGCCAAUCAGAUAACUACUGUUGAGGAAGCAAAAAGAUUCUAUCCGCUAUUCGGACUAGGAGCUAAUGUUGCCCUCAUUUUCUCCGGUCGAACUGUUAAGUACUUCUCUAAUUUGAGGAAAAAUCUAGGUACCAGAGUCGACGGUUGGGCCAUCUCCUUAAAGGGAAUGAUGAGCAUUGUUGUACUGAUGGGAUUCACUAUCUGUUUCCUUUACUGGUGGGUGAAUAAGUUUGUUCCUCUUCCCACACGUAGCUGGAAGAAGAAGGAAAAGCCUAAAAUGGGAACAAUGGAGAGCUUGAAAUUCUUGGUAUCAUCAAGGUACAUUAGGGAUCUUGCUACUUUGGUGGUUGCAUAUGGUAUUAGCAUCAACCUUGUCGAAGUUACCUGGAAAUCGAAGCUCAAAGCACAGUUUCCAAGUCCAAAUGAAUACUCCUCCUUCAUGGGUGAUUUCUCGACUGCAACUGGGAUAGCUACAUUCACUAUGAUGCUACUAAGUCAAUUUAUAUUCGACAAAUACGGAUGGGGAGUUGCGGCAAAAAUUACACCUACUGUCCUGCUUCUGACUGGAGUCGGUUUCUUUUCCUUGAUAUUAUUUGGUGAUCCACUUGGACCAGCCCUUGCAGAGUUCGGCAUGACCCCUCUUCUUGCAGCUGUAUAUGUUGGUGCCAUGCAAAAUAUUUUCAGCAAGAGUGCUAAGUACAGUUUGUUUGAUCCAUGCAAAGAAAUGGCCUAUAUUCCUUUAGAUGAAGACACCAAGGUGAAAGGGAAGGCUGCCAUUGAUGUUGUUUGCAAUCCAUUAGGGAAAUCAGGGGGUGCUCUGAUUCAACAGUUUAUGAUCUUGACCUUUGGAUCACUUGCAAAUUCAACCCCAUACCUUGGUGGUAUACUUUUGAUGAUUGUUUUUACAUGGCUAUCAGCAGCCAAGUCUUUGGACACACAAUUCACCGCAUUGCGUAGGGAAGAAGAGUUCGAAAAGGAGAUGGAAAGAGAUGCUGUUAAGAUCCCCGUCGUGUCUGAACCUAGAAAUGACUCUGUUGCAAAUAGUUCAUUACUAAACGCUGCAUCAGAUGACUCAACAGGAAGUUCAUCAGAAACAUCAACUCCGAGAAAUAUUUAGAAAACAGAAGACUAAGAAGCUGAUAAGCAGUGAUAGCAGUGGGCAAGGACUUGGCAGGCAGCCCAUCAACAGGCAUUGGAGUGUGUCCCGGAGUGUCAACUCCGAUACCCCCUUGACCCUUUCUUGUCCUUGAACCAUCAACACUCCUUACUUUGGAUUCAGGUAUGAGGAUGACCGACUCUACUCAGUAUUUGUGGUAAAAUAUUUGAAUUCCCAAAAUGAAAUAUAGCAGAAACCUAGAGGGCUGUCUUUUAUGAUGUAGCAUGUAAAAUGCAAAACACAUAAACUGACUAUAAUGGCUUAUUUUAUUCCUGGCUUGGCUUGAUCAGUUCAUUCAGAUCCUUUCAACUUGCUUCAACUCCAUAUCAGCUUGUAAACCGAGCUUGUCCAGCUCAUCAUUGUUUGCAACUUCAGUUUGUAGCUCUUGUGAUUUCAUUUUGAGCUUAUUUCCCUGAUGCCUAUUGACAUACUCGAGUUGCUUCAUGCAUUCAUCCUUUGCAACUUGUUUAUGACUGCUGCAGGAUACACCAAAGGCUAACCAUCGGGGCCUAACUCUAGAGGAGCAAAAAUGGCACAACCUCAAGACUAAUAUUUUUGUUCAACAUACUGACAUGAAAGAGAAGCUGUAACUUAUAGGUCACCUUUAUAAGGUUUUAGAAGGAGAUGAUAACUGCACUA